UAGGGAAUCUUCGGCAAUGGGGGCAACCCUGACCGAGCAACGCCGCGUGAGUGAAGAAGGUUUUCGGAUCGUAAAGCUCUGUUGUAAGAGAAGAACGUGUGUGAGAGUGGAAAGUUCACACAGUGACGGUAACUUACCAGAAAGGGACGGCUAACUACGUGCCAGCAGCCGCGGUAAUACGUAGGUCCCGAGCGUUGUCCGGAUUUAUUGGGCGUAAAGCGAGCGCAGGCGGGUUAAUAAGUCUGAAGUUAAAGGCAGUGGCUUAACCAUUGUUCGCUUUGGAAACUGUUAAACUUGAGUGCAGAAGGGGAGAGGGGAAUUCCAUGUGUAGCGGUGAAAUGCGUAGAUAUAUGGAGGAACACCGGUGGCGAAAGCGGCUCUCUGGUCUGUAACUGACGCUGAGGCUCGAAAGCGUGGGGAGCAAACAGG
rnacentral:rRNA from 1 species